GCCAUGCAAGGGGUAUCUUUAAUUACAUUCCAUUCCAAUUCCAAUUACAUUUCCCCUGGUGGACCUUGGUGGGGACAGGUAACAAAGAAACAUUUCCCAGACUACCUUUCUGUACUUGGAAGAUAAUUGCGUAAGGACAAUUAUUUAAUUAGAUCAUCCCCCAAGUACAGAAAAUUAAACAAUAUUUCAAGCAAUCAUAACUCCUAUAAUAUUCGUCAUAACUUCACAAAAGAUACUUCACAGAAUAGCAGGGAUCUGAGUACCCACUCUGUCUAAAUACUGCUCUGAUCCGUUCUGUAGAAUAGGAACACCAUCCGAGUAAAGUUUAGAUCGGUCAACCACGAGGUGAAGCCCCAAAACAGUUCCAUGUGAUUGUAUGCUUUGACUGGUCUUCUUUCGGGAGUUUUUAGUAUUAAACUAAUGAAUGCAACUGAUCAAUAGUUUGACGUGUGCCUUGUGUUCAUUAAUUUAAUUCAUGUAUAGGUGAAGGGGAACGAAAAUACGAAAAGGAUGGAAGUUCAGCGGUGUUCGUGCCGUUGAGUGUGCGAUUAUGGUUCCAUGCGCUCAACGACCAAACGAUGUAUGUUCGUGAGCAAAAAUGGCCGCCACUACGGUCAUACGAAUGGCGGCCACCUAUCUGACCAUAUGAAAGCUUGCGAUUUCUUGUUGUGAACAUAGUCAAUUGAAAGGCACACGACUGGCAAACAACGGGGUUGUCUCCCCGUUCGGUAGUUGGUUUUCCUGACGAACAUUAUGUCUUUAUUCUGUUCGGCAGCCUCAAAUAGUCAAACCAACUCAGUCUUUCAUACAAAUCAGUGGCUAGUUUUGCCACAGUCGUCUGGAGAGCGGGCUUGCUGGGUCCUCAGGGUUAUGACACAUUUUCCACUGUACUUCCUGCACUCUGUGAUUACUACUUCUGCGUGCUGGAACUUUAGUGGGAACUUUACUUACAGCAAUUUUUCGGCAGGGCUGUUGCUGUGAAAUGGCUCCAAGGAGCGGCUGAAUUCCCCUUUGUGUCUGGCUAUGUGUGCUGUAACAGCUACAUAGCCAGCACAGGCGGCGGGACACGCAGGACUGCAGGAGUCGGACUGAGUCAUUAAUGGUGAAG